rnacentral:rRNA from 1 species
GGAUAGCCCAGAGAAAUUUGGAUUAAUACCUCAUAGUAUUAUUGAAUGGCAUCAUUUAAUAAUUAAAGUUCCAACGGUACAAGAUGAGCAUGCGUCCUAUUAGCUAGUUGGUGUGGUAACGGCAUACCAAGGCUACGAUAGGUAGGGGUCCUGAGAGGGAGAUCCCCCACACUGGUACUGAGACACGGACCAGACUCCUACGGGAGGCAGCAGUGAGGAAUAUUGGACAAUGGGCGCAAGCCUGAUCCAGCCAUGCCGCGUGCAGGAAGACGCAUCUAUGGUGUGUAAACUGCUUUUGUACGGGAAGAAACACUCCCUCGUGAGGGAGCUUGACGGUACCGUAAGAAUA